UGAUGAUGUGAACAAGGGAUCAAAUCAACGUGAACUUUGAAAUCUUUGUAAAAGAAGUUAGAGUUCAUCCUCAAGGCAAUAAGGAGUAGAGAGGUAAACUGUUAUCCUAACGUCCUAUUAUGCGUUUCCAGCAAUGAUCUGGCUUUUGGUGAGACACUCUCUCUACCUGCCUGGGCUUUAUCUUCUGGGCAGCUUCUCCAUGCUGCAUGUAUCUCUUCCCCAAGUAGAGGAAGACAACUCCAAGAAGUCUGGAGUCUGGCCAUCUAGGAAGUAUGCUUUAUCCUUGGAAAACCACUACAUUUCUCCAAACUGAUGCUACUGCUCUGACAUCUGGCUGGACCUUUUCCCGUGCUGUGUCAUCUGCAUGCCAUGACCUUUCCUUUGGUCCCACUCCUUUCGCCUGCCUGGAAUACACUUUUUCAUCUUUCCUAACUGAACAAAGACAACAUGUCAUGUAAUAGCUCAGCCUGGUACAUCAACUUCCUCCUCUGGGCAACCUGUGAAUCGGUACAGAAAAUUGUACAGCCUUUAUCAUGUCAUCUCAGUCUCUUUGGCUAGACUUUGCAACUUCCUUCUUCCUCUUCCCUGUAUCCUUAGCACCUACCCACCAGCUAUCACAGAGCAUGCCUUAAAUAAAACU